GGGAAGACGUUGAAGAAAGAGAUGCUGAAGGAAAACCUGGAGGAAGAGGACCUGGAGGAGGUAGAGGAGCCCUGAGGAAGAAGGAAUGAUCAGAGAAACAUAAAGAAGAACAAACCAAGGAAUAGUUACUAUUAAAGUUUUCUUCUCAUGCUGAUGGUGGCAAUGUGUUUCUGUGGAGGAAGGAUUUUAUGAACACUUGGGCAUUAUCUGUGCUGCAUCCUUUACAGAUGGCUCAAACCCCUGGACACAAGAUUAUUCUGAGGUAUUUGAAGAGUGAGACAAGCCCAAUGAAGACAACUACAAGAAUGGAAUAUGUUACACUCAAUGACUUCAUUCUUGUGACAGAUGCUGUUCCCAUCUCAGAAACCCACAUCAUCAGUUGGCCAAGGAAAAAUGCACUCUCAGCAGAUGAGAUUAUUUGCAGAAUCUGCAGCUCUCCUUCUGGAUGCUGCUCACCAAGUGAAAAGGUGGAGAAGCACCCACAAAGCAGCUGUGGAAUAAAGAACCCAUUUCAUCCUUUAGAACUCUCCCGCUGUUUUAGUGGAAAGCCCAAUGGAUGGAUGGAUAAACCUUGCAGAAACUAAAAUCAGCUCUUGGCUAGGUGAGAAGGAGAUUUUAACUACAGAGUCCCAGGAGAAAUUUUUGAGUCAGCUUCUCUUGGCCUUGUAACAAUAGCAUGGAGGGUUGAACCUCUCAUCCUGCAAUUUUAACUCUGUGGCUUGGUUUAAGACAAUUUAAGAGGUGGACGCUCUAAGAUUAGUUAACCCCCCACUUAGUUUCAAGCAAUCUCUUUCCAUCAAUAAGGAGAAAUGAAAUAUGAGUAGAUAAGGGUGAAAAAAUAACAGUUUGCUAAGAAGGGAAACAGCAACAGGCAAAAAAAUUAUCAAUGAAUAAUCAGUAGAUACAAAAUUGCUAAAUCUCAUGGACAAUUUGAGAUCUUCAGGGACACAUCAACCCUCUCAGCCUUUCUUCAUGGGAUGAAACUGACUUUUGGCCUUGGAAAUGCCCGGGGGUUCUGGACUUUGAUUGUGGCAAAAUCAUGAAAUAAAAGUUAGCAUUUGUUUGAUAGACUGGUGUGUCAGUCCAGCCUUUUAAUGAUCAACUUGCAAAAAACAGUCAAACCAGCUGGUCUGGAAGAGGAAAGUUCUAAAAAUCUGUAAGAAGAGACCUUUUACAUAAACAUAUUUUUAAAGAAGUUUUAUGACAUAAAACUUGAAGAUGAUCUGAAAUAGCUGGAAACAAAUGAAAGAGAAGGCUGCUGUAAGGGGAGAGAGAGUUUCUGAACCUGCCCAGUGUGAAUUCCUUUCCUGUUGACUCAUGUUUGAUCUGUUCCUCUUUCCAUCUUUUUCCUUUCCUUUCCUUAUUUUAGAUAUACUGUUCCAAAAAUGGGUAAAUUUGCUUUUCUUUAUUCCCAGUCAAUGGCAGUUCAUGAUAACUUAGAGAAGUAUGUUAGUAGUCAGUGCUGCAGUUUGCUUUUCUUUUUCUCUUAAUAUUUGGAGUUAAAUCUUUACGAAAACUGUGCUUAGACUGCAACUUUUCAGAAGUUUGUGACUAUACUGAUUGAUGCUUCCUUGGAAUAUGUAACAGCAAAGCCAAAUAAUCACAAAGAGCAUGUGCUGGGUAUUUCCACCCUGGGAAUUUAAAUUUUUUUGACUUCAUUUAUGAUGCUGCAGUGUAACCACCUGGUGGAGUGAGUGAUUGCAAGGCCUGAUUAACAGUACAGACUUUUAGACUAGAAUUUGUUACUUCUCUAUCUUGUAUGCUGUUCUGUGGUAGAAAUACUUCACAGCUUUUGCCAACUGUGUUUUUUGAAAAAAUCACAGCUUGCUAGAGCCUUGAUUCUGCUCUUAGUGGAGGAUGCCCCAGGUCUGUUUAUAUGUGGCAGGUCCAAUAAAAAUAUGUUUUCUCUAAUGAGGGCUGGAUAUAUCUGGACUCUUCUGUUUGUUAAAACUCUAGAAGCCAAGUAAAUGUAGUACUUUUGUAGCAAAACGUGUGAAAUCACAUGGUGGCUCUUUCAUAGCUUGGCUUGGAAAAAAUAACCCCUGUGGAUGUAGAUGUCAAAGUUCUCUUCCAAGGUUUGGGGGAUUAAACGAGAGGUGAGGAAUUGUCUUCAUCUUCCCUCUCUUUCAAAAAUAGAUUUUUUAAAUGUGGCACACAAACUUCUUGUGCCAGUAAAUCUGACAUGCUGGGUCUCAGGGAGAGGGAUACUUUGUUUCAAGCAGCGUUUCAUUUUAAAAAAUGUUAAUUUCUUGUAUACAGAAAACAAAGCUGUCUGAAAGAAAUGUACUGUUGAUCCAAUUCUAGUACUUUCAGGUUUUUAGUGCCUGCUGAAUUGUAGUAGUGCCUCAGAAGCAAAAUAAGGGAUUUUUUUUCCCUGCAGAUUUUAAAGAAGUUGUGACUUUUCUCAGUUUUACAAGAGCUUCUCAGGAGUCCCAGCAUUAACUCUUUUAUGUUGUCAUGCAUUCAAACCGGAAAUCCCCUUUGUUCCCUAUGCCAAUUAUCUUUUUAGGGUUGAAGAGUUGCUACACUUCAUGUAUACCACAAGCUCUUGUUUCAUGGGAAUAUUGUUAGCUUUGUUAUGCUCAGUCUGUGCAAAAACUUCUAUUCAGUGUUUCUGAGUUUUAUUAUCUUUUGAUUGGAUGACUGGAUUUUGCGGUAGCAUAGCUGAUAUUAAUGCAUUUAAACCACAUAAUCUGGAGGAUAUUAUAUUCCAGAAGAUGUUUGAGUAAGCUGAGAAGUGAGGCUGAUGUUAUACUCUUCUGUUUCAUUGCCGGUUCAGUAGUAAUUAUUUACACUGAGGAAUGGAGAAAUGGAGCACAAAGUUCUGCCCUGGGCUUUUGCUGUAAAUUUGAGGGUGAGCAAAAGAACUACUGUUUCUUUUUCAUGGAGAGCAAUGCAGGAGAUGUGACAAAAUGUGCCAGAGGAAUAGGUAUGGCAAGAUCCUACCUGUGAGAAAACCAGCAGGAAUCAGGGUAGGAUGUUCCCCAGGGGGCCAAUCAGUGCAGCUCUGCUGACUCCCAAAAGCACAAGCCAGUUCAGGAAGCAUUCUCAUAUUGGACUGCCCUAAAUAGCUACAAUAUCAUCAAAAGAAGCAGAACCUACCAGAGCCAGGAUCUGCAAAUGUCACUGAGCAGCUGCUCUCUUCGCUCUUCUGUGAAGCACCUGGCAGUGCCCCUGGGAUGCUUGUCUGGGUGUAACCCUGCUGACAGAAUAUGGCAGCUGCUAAUAUCCUUAUUCUGUUGGCUUUGAUCUGUCUUCAGAAAGUACAGCUUCUUCAAAACAGCUGAAGGAAGCAGAAGCCAUCAGUCCUCUUGAAAUUAUUUUUGGGAAAAUCUAUACAUUUGGAUGUUGCUUGUGGAAAUA